rnacentral:rRNA from 1 species
UACGAAGGGGGCUAGCGUUGCUCGGAAUCACUGGGCGUAAAGGGUGCGUAGGCGGGUCUUUAAGUCAGGGGUGAAAUCCUGGAGCUCAACUCCAGAACUGCCUUUGAUACUGAAGAAUCUUGAGUUCGGGAGAGGUGAGUGGAACUGCGAGUGUAGAGGUGAAAUGCGCAGAUAUCGGGAGGAACACCCGUAGCGAAGGCGGCACUCUGGGCCGGAACUGACGCUGAGGAGCGAAAGCGUGGGGAGCCAAACAGGAUAGAAACCCCU